AACGAACGCUGGCGGCAGGCUUAACACAUGCAAGUCGAACGCGUGUGGCAAUACACGAGUGGCGCACGGGUGAGUAACGCGUGGAUAUCUGCCUUUUGGUUCGGAAUAACUCCGGGAAACUGGAGCUAAUACCGGAUGGUUCCUACGGGAUAAAGAUUUAUCGCCAAAAGAUGAGUCCGCGUACGAUUAGCUAGUUGGUGAGGUAAUGGCUCACCAAGGCGACGAUCGUUAGCUGGUCUGAGAGGACGAUCAGCCACACUGGGACUGAGACACGGCCCAGACUCCUACGGGAGGCAGCAGUGGGGAAUAUUGGACAAUGGGGGCAACCCUGAUCCAGCCAUGCCGCGUGAGUGAUGAAGGCCUUCGGGUUGUAAGCUCUUUUGGUCGGGGACCGGAGUGAUGACGGUACCCGCAG
rnacentral:rRNA from 1 species